rnacentral:rRNA from 1 species
AGAUUGAACGCUGGCGGCAGGCCUAACACAUGCAAGUCGAGCGGUAGAGAGGUGCUUGCAUCUCUUGAGAGCGGCGGACGGGUGAGUAAUGCCUAGGAAUCUGCCUAGUGGUGGGGGAUAACGUUCGGAAACGGACGCUAAUACCGCAUACGUCCUACGGGAGAAAGCGGGGGACCUUCGGGCCUCGCGCCAUUAGAUGAGCCUAGGUCGGAUUAGCUAGUUGGUGAGGUAAUGGCUCACCAAGGCGACGAUCCGUAACUGGUCUGAGAGGAUGAUCAGUCACACUGGAACUGAGACACGGUCCAGACUCCUACGGGAGGCAGCAGUGGGGAAUAUUGGACAAUGGGCGAAAGCCUGAUCCAGCCAUGCCGCGUGUGUGAAGAAGGUCUUCGGAUUGUAAAGCACUUUAAGUUGGAGGAAGGUUGUAACCUAAUACGUUGCAACUUUGACGUUACGACAGAAUAAGCACCGCUAACUUCGUGCCAGCAGCCGUA